rnacentral:rRNA from 1 species
AUGACAUGGAGGAUCUGGAUCCUGGCAAAUAAGAAGGAGAUGAGCUCUUUCUCUUGGAUCGUAACCUCCUUGAUGAGAACUGAAGCAUGGAUCUGUACUAUGCUAUCUGGAUUUGUGACCUUAUUCAUGGAAACAGUGAAAAUAGCGAGUACCGGUCAUUAUUUGGUCCCAGUUUUAGCCAUACACAAUCAUGCUGGUCGGACCGUUCCCUCGUCACUGAGGCAUGCCAAGAAGAGGCGACAUCUUUCAGCUAUAAGUGCUCAGAUUUUUCUGACGGGUCAUGAAACAAGAACCGAUGAGACCAUGAGUUGCAAACCUUCCUGA